UAUGCAGCCCUUUUGAGUUUCAAGAUGGUGCAACUUCCGUGUGUCCGUACUUUAAAGUAUGCAAAUUUGGAAGGUGCUGGUGAUUGCACACCAAGGAUUACAUGUUAGAAAAAAAUGAAGCUUCCAAGAAAACAGGUGUGACUGGAUCCAAUAAUCCGGAGGUGGGGCCACGUAUGUACAGUGAACAGAGGAACAGUGGCAGUAGCAGCGAGUAGAUGACGAAAAUGAUGUAGGAACUUGAAAAUUGAGAUGCCAGUUUGGAUGUACUUGAGGAGGCAUGGAAUUGAGAGCAGAUGGUGAAGAUGGUGAAGAUGGCUCUAGUGGUGCUGGUGGCUCUGGUGGUGCUGGUGGCUACUCGGGGACUUUGGAUUCAAGCACAAGCACAUCCGACAUCCGACAUGGACUGUCGAAAGAGAGCUGCUAUGAUGUGUAUACUGAAGGUUCAAGAAAAGUUUCUCCUUCCCCAAUCCAUAAUGGAUAUGAUCACGAAAGAUAUCACUCUCUUCAUCCAAGACCUCCUCUUAGACCUUGGUGAUGAUGUAUGUGCCUCCCUCACUGCUAGUGGAUGUGACCCUGGUUCUGUUUCUGGAUUAUUUCACUCAAGUUCUGCCUAUGCGAACCCUUUUGUAGGGGUGGAGUCCCAGCACAUGCAGAUGAAAUAUUGCAGAGAAGUACUUGGAAUUGUGGAACCUCACUCGGUGUUAUACUGGGUACUAAGAAACAGUGGAAGGGCACAGGGAAAAAGAGAGCAUAUAUCGAGGUUCCCAAUUUUGGAGACUAUUCAAUCGCUUCUGAAGGAUCCGAACGUGUUGAAAUUGGUAUGUGCAAUUGGUUCCUGUGUAUGGAUUACAUGUUGAAACUGGCCACAAGUCCACUGAUGGGGACUAUUAUGACGGGAACCACUUUUCUUCUCACCGUCCCACACUCUAGACAGUAAAUUCUUGCACAUUUUCUUAUAAUUAUUCAGAUGAUGUUGAAGUUUUGGCUCCAGGCGUAUCAUCCACAAGCUCAGUGAGUUAUUUAGGGUGUGUACGUACGUGUACUUAGUACAGUCCUCCUCUUCGUUUUGUGCUCGGCAAUAUCCCACCUAUUUUUCGAUCAAAGUUAAAGUACAUCCAACUUGCUGGUAUAGCCAAGACUGAGCAUUUGAAAGCCUAUGGUUCCAAUGCCAUCCUAAAACCCUUGGUUGAUGAUAUCAAGAAACUGAAUGGUGUGUUGAAGAAGAAGUAUGGAACAGUGUGCGUUGUACCAGCUGAUAACUUGGCUGCAAACCUGAAACUGAGAUGAAAGCCAUUUUUAGAGAAUCAGCGUUCACACUACGCACUCAUUUAGAGAAGUGUUCAAGGCUUGAUGUUACUACAACUCAGCGUGAGUAUCAGAAGUUAUCAACAGAGUACGGUACCUCGCUGCUGAACGAAUUGGAGUAUUUCAAUGUGUGUUCUGGUGGUAUUAUUCAAGAUGUCAUGCACGACGUACUCGAAGGUGUUCUUGAAUACGAAACACUGAUUCAUCACAUUAAAGUGGAAGGGCUCCUUCAACUGGUGAAUCAAAAAAUAGCAGCAUUGGACCUUGGCUACAUGGAGGCAAAAGAAAAGAUCACCCAUCCACUGUUACCUCUACCACACUUGAUGGUGUAGACCACAAGUUGAAACAAAAAGCUGUUCAAAUGUGGCUUGGCCAUUUAGUACCUGCUGACGAUGAGAGAUCGUAGAUCUACUACUUGCACCUGAGUUGACUGAGGAUGAAGCUGUCACCCUAGCUAGCUUCACCCUAGCUUCAAUGAUAGCGGAUCAUCACAAUGAAUUCAAGCAUCUGUAUCCACGCUCUUCCAUCACACCCAAGCUUGUACAUAUGCCAAGGUUAAUUCUUCAAUAUGGACCUCUUCGUCAGCUAUGGACAAUGCGAAAUGCGAUUUGACAUUCCUACUUCAAAACACUUUCACAACAUAUAGGAAAUUUUAAUCUUCCUCUCACUCUUGCUCGUCGCCACCAGAGACUACAAUGCUAUAGCUCGUCUGACUUGACGAACUAUUCAUCUCACGUUAUAAACACUGGACCAGGUAACAUUAUGCUUCUGGAAUGUGCACCUGAAGCAGGAGAAAGGAGAGGUAAAUGUUUUGUCAAUAAUAAUUAUUAUGAUAUUCAUGUCAAUUCUACGGGUUGAAGUAAACGGAGUCCUGAAAAAACCUAAGAAAGUUUUUUUGAAGUUCAACUUCUUGAAGUCAGUUUUGUGAACACUUUCAUUGUUUUUUGAAAUAACUCACACCCCUUUUGUUUAUGUUUCAAGUGACUCACUAUUAUCACCAAUUCCUCAUCACGUGAGAGGUACUCUUUGUAUUGUUCCUUUGCAUCAUUUUGUAAUUGAUGAAGUGUAAUUUUUAUGUUAUGAUUAUUGUG